UACGUAGGUGGCAAGCGUUGUCCGGAUUUACUGGGCGUAAAGGGCGUGCAGGCGGUCUGUUAAGUGCAGGGUGAAAGCUCCCGGCUCAACUGGGAGAGGUCCUUGCAUACUGGCGGACUUGAGGGGGGUAGAGGAAAGUGGAAUUCCCGGUGUAGUGGUGAUAUGCGCAGAUAUCGGGAAGAACACCCGUGGCGAAGGCGGCUCUCUGGGACGGUACUGACGCUGAGACGCGAAAGCGUGGGGAGCGAACAGG
rnacentral:rRNA from 1 species